AACGAACGCUGGCGGCAUGCCUAACACAUGCAAGUCGAACGAGAUCUUCGGGUCUAGUGGCGCACGGGUGCGUAACGCGUGGGAAUCUGCCCUUUGGUUCGGAAUAACAGUUGGAAACGACUGCUAAUACCGGAUGAUGACGAAAGUCCAAAGAUUUAUCGCCAGAGGAUGAGCCCGCGUAGGAUUAGCUAGUUGGUGUGGUAAAGGCGCACCAAGGCGACGAUCCUUGGCUGGUCUGAGAGGAUGAUCAGCGACACUGGGACUGAGACACGGCCCAGACUCCUACGGGAGGCAGCAGUGGGGAAUAUUGGACAAUGGGCGAAAGCCUGAUCCAGCAAUGCCGCGUGAGUGAUGAAGGCCUUAGGGUUGUAAAGCUCUUUUACCCGGGAUGAUAAUGACAGUACCGGGAGAAUAAGCUCCGGCUAACUCCGUGCCAGCAGCCGCCGCCG
rnacentral:rRNA from 1 species